rnacentral:rRNA from 1 species
GAGUUUGAUCCUGGCUCAGGAUGAACGCUGGCGGCGUGCCUAAUACAUGCAAGUCGAACGCUUCACUUCGGUGAAGAGUGGCGAACGGGUGAGUAAUACAUAAGUAACCUGGCAUCUACAGGGGGAUAACUGAUGGAAACGUCAGCUAAGACCGCAUAGGUGUAGAGAUCGCAUGAACUCUAUAUGAAAAGUGCUACGGGACUGGUAGAUGAUGGACUUAUGGCGCAUUAGCUGGUUGGUAGGGUAACGGCCUACCAAGGCGACGAUGCGUAGCCGACCUGAGAGGGUGACCGGCCACACUGGGACUGAGACACGGCCCAGACUCCUACGGGAGGCAGCAGUAGGGAAUUUUCGGCAAUGGGGGAAACCCUGACCGAGCAACGCCGCGUGAAGGAAGAAGUAAUUCGUUAUGUAAACUUCUGUCAUAGAGGAAGAACGGUGGAUAUAGGGAAUGAUAUCCAAGUGACGGUACUCUAUAAGAAAGCCACGGCUAACUACGUGCCAGCAGCCGCGGUAAUACGUAGGUGGCGAGCGUUAUCCGGAAUUAUUGGGCGUAAAGAGGGAGCAGGCGGCACUAAGGGUCUGUGGUGAAAGAUCGAAGCUUAACUUCGGUAAGCCAUGGAAACCGUAGAGCUAGAGUGUGUGAGAGGAUCGUGGAAUUCCAUGUGUAGCGGUGAAAUGCGUAGAUAUAUGGAGGAACACCAGUGGCGAAGGCGACGAUCUGGCGCAUAACUGACGCUCAGUCCCGAAAGCGUGGGGAGCAAAUAGGAUUAGAUACCCUAGUAGUCCACGCCGUAAACGAUGAGUACUAAGUGUUGGGAGUCAAAUCUCAGUGCUGCAGUUAACGCAAUAAGUACUCCGCCUGAGU